rnacentral:lncRNA from 1 species
CAGCAUCUCGUUAGCCUUUCUGACCAAGGUGGAAUUAGAGUGUGAUGGAGACAAAGUAGAAGCCUGUGGCCAAGCCCAGCAGUUCCGGAAGGUCCCUCCCAGGCUCUGGCCUGCAGCCUGGCCUCCCGAUUGCCUCUUGUUAAUGAGAGCUGAGUGGCAGGUGGUGGAUUGCUUACAGAUGGCAAGAGGGCCAAAGGCAGCUAAGACGGGCCAGUGGGGCCAGGACUUCAUUUAGACAGAUGUGUGGGAUGGAGAGCACAUUGGACCCAGGCCGCAGCUGAGUGAGCAGUGGGCAGGAAGCUGAUCUGGUCUGUUCCAGGCUGUACAAUGUCUGCCCAAGUGGAACUUCAGUUCGCUUGGUGAAGAAGACACAACACUUGGAGAGAAGCCCAGGUCUCCAGCCAGUGGCUGUGGGCUGCACAUGGCCUGACCCAAAUGGAAACACAGGAAAACAGAGCUGCAGCAAUGCUGGGCUAAAGAAGCUUCCGGACCUUGUCUUCUUCCUUUCUCUCCUUCCUUCCUUUCUUCCUUCCUUUUUUGGUAACUGCAUUCACUGAUUUUUUUUUUUUUUAAUCUUUGUGACCACAGUGCCUGUCAGAAUCGAGGGAAGAAAGGUUGAUUUGGCUCAUGACUCUGAGGGCUCCCAUCCAUCACAGUGGAAGUGCUUGGAUCAUCAUGGCUGUGGGAGCCCAUGGCAAGGCUAUUCACAUCGCAUUGACCAGGAAGAAGAACGUACAGGAAGCAGGCAGGGUGAUGUGCUCUCAAGGGCCUGCCCCCUGACUCACUUCUUCCAGAGUUCUCUUGAUGCUUUGGGGACACAGAAGUUGAAAUAAGUGACAUCCAUCUGCUGAAGGUGACACAGCAUUUCGGGCCAUUGACGCAGUUUCAGAGGCUCCUCUGUUUUUCCAGAACCUUCUAAGAGGUGAAGGAGACGCCAGAUGGACACAUAAAGGCCCUGCCAUGGACACAUCAAGAGGAUACAAACUAUGGACAGA